rnacentral:rRNA from 1 species
UACAGAGGGUGCGAGCGUUAAUCGGAAUUACUGGGCGUAAAGCGCACGUAGGCGGCUUGGUAUGUCGGGUGUGAAAUCCCCGGGCUCAACCUGGGAACUGCAUCCGAAACUGCCUUGCUCGAGUAUGGGAGAGGGAAGUGGAAUUUCCGGUGUAGCGGUGAAAUGCGUAGAUAUCGGAAGGAACAUCAGUGGCGAAGGCGACUUCCUGGACCAAUACUGACGCUCAGGUGCGAAAGCGUGGGGAGCAACAGGAU